CAGUGUUCUAUGGCAUCGUCUUCAUGAUAGUGUGUGCAGGGAAGGGAGAUGGGAGAGCGGGCAGGGAGGGCCUGCCUGAGGGGUCCUGGGCAGGGGUGAAGGGACUCAGCACAGGGACAAAGGAGGAGGGUGUGCAGAGCUGUGGAAACAUUGCCAGUGCCGGGAAGGAGAGACGCAACGGAAGGUGCACCCAGGCACGUGUGUGCCCACCUGGCAUGGCGGGGUCCUCUGUCACUGCCCCAUUGGGAAGCAUUCUUGAUGACUCCAGUGGUCCACGGCAUGCCUGGUCACUUCCUUGGUGACUAGAGGGCCUCUGGUAGAUAAGCAUCAGGACAGGUAGCAAGUCCUAAAGUCGCUGUGUGCACGUGCAGACACCUCUGCGGGCCUCAGGAGGCCUGCCACCCAGGUGCUCAGCUGGCUCCUCAGUGGCCCUUUUGAUCCUGGGUAUUGGACGCCCCCACCCCUGCCCAUUGCUCUCACAUCGCUGUCCCUACCUCUCCUUCCUCUGCUUGGCUGGGCCAUCUGGCAUCGAGGGUCUGGGCCAGGCUCCUGGUCUCCAGAUGCUCAACACUCUCAUAGGUGACCGUGGCCAGAUUCAGUGCCCCCAGCACAAUGCAGAGCUUGACACUGACACAGAGAAAGGAGCUUAGCCAAGGCCUUGAGGAGUCCAGGGCCUCCCCACGUGGGCACUGGCAAAAGCAGCUUCCCCACAUUCUCCAACACAGGGCCAUAAAGAGCUGGAAGAGGAGGGGGAAGGCAGAGCUGUGCAGACCUCCAGUGCCCUGCAUGACGUAGCAGUGGCACAGAGAGUCUCUGCCACUGCCCAAUCCUCUCCGAAGAACAGGACUUUUCCUUUUAAGAAAACAAUGAUUUGGGCUGGGGUUGUGGCUCUGUGGUAGAGCGCUUGCCCAGUAUGUGUGAGGCACUGGGUUCAAUUCUCUGCACCGCAUACAAAAAAGUAAAUAAAAUAAAGAUCCAUCAAGAAAUAAUAAAAAUAUUUUUUUAAAAAAAGAAGUAAACAAUUAUUCUAUGUUGCUGAUGAAAUCAAGUCAGAAGAUGCGCUGGCUGGAGGUACCAUCACUGAGCAGGAACGCAGGGUAACUGAGUGCUCCCCAUGGAAGGAGCCCAGCCAGUCAUCCCGCCCUUUGACCAGGGAAAUCACACUGAGAGCGAAGGCUGCCCAGCCAGGCCUGGCCAGAAGCAGCACCCUCCACCAACCAUGUGGGUCCAGACCUGGCUGCUUCACUUAGGGACCUUCUGAGAUGCUGCUGGCAGCUGAGCAGGCCACGACCCCAGCUCCCCGUGUCCUGAGGGUGGCAGCAGUCAAGGCCACUUCUGCUGUCUGGGAUCUUCUUUCCUCUCCUGGAGAGAAUUGUUUUCCCUAAGUCCUUCUUAAUGUCAUCAGUGUUUUUAAAUUUAAUUUAUAUUCUUAUUGUGACACAAAAGAAGACAUAUUUUUGGAUGAUCCUGAGGACGUAAAACAGAAGGGUUCAACUAACAGGUCCAGGUCAAAGCCCUCCCCACCGGCCUUGCUGGGACUGUCCUCACAGGUCUGGAGUUGAUGAAAAGGCUGCACAGGAUUGGGAGAGAUAACGCAGCCAUGCUAGAUUCCUACAGAUUCAAGUGACCUUACUGGAUUGGCCUGUCUGGAUUCAUGAUUAAACUGUCCUCUCAGGAUUGGUAUAGGUCACAAUGGCCUCACUACAUGGGUAUUGAGUGAGCUCUCUUCACAGAGCUGGGAUCACAUAUCUUCUCACAUGAUGUUUGGGGAGGAAUCAGCCCUAUCUGUGUGAGGGGCCAACUCCUAGCCCCUUGUUUUGAACUCCUAAGCCAGUGCUGAGAAUAUGCCCAUAUGGGGAGACAGGGUCUUUUCGGGGGUUAUCUAGUUCAAUGAGGCCAUCUGGGUGGCCCUAAUCCGAUGUGAGCUAUGCCCUUGUGGCAGAGGAUAUCAGGGCACAGACUCCCAGAAGUACCACUGUGAGGACACGGGCAGGAAGGCCAUCUGCAAGCUCAGAGAGGGGCCUCAGUGGGCACCAGUCCGGGCCACCCUGGCUGUCAGACUCUUGUCCCCAGAAAUGUGAGUGAAUGCUGAGCUGGCUCUAGGGUGGGUUUGGCAGGGGUUGCAGCUUGUGCAAUCUGAUAAAUGCUUGUACAUGAAAGUACAUCGCUUAGCUUCCUGUUCCUGUGUUGUGUCAUUUUUGACAGGCCUAAGUGAGAUUUUCUAGAAUCCCCAUUUCUGGGAUAGGACUGAGGGGCAGAUGUGUCUGGGAGGCCAGCCUUAGAAAGAUUACGUGCUGACUUCAUAAGGAACUUCCCUAGCAUCUCUAGGUCACUGUACCAGUCCUGUCCAGCCUGCUCCUUCUCGCACCUUAAGACCCUUUUCACAAGGACCACCCUAACCCCUGAACGCCUGUUCAGGUCCUUCUCAGUAUCCAUGAGGCCAUCCUGACAGCCUUGACCACUCCUUCCCUCCUCCUACUGCAUAGACACACCAGUCUCUCCUGCAGGCCAGCUUCCUUCUUCCCCUGCUCCUCCUCAUUUCCUGAUAUUUUCAAGCAGAGAGGAGUCCUCCCCUGCAUGGGGAAGUUGGGUCUUCUCAAGCCCUGUGACAGCACCUCGCUAAGUGCUGAGGCUGGCCUUGAGCUUGUGAUUCUCCUGCCUCAGCCUCCUGAGGUGCUGGGAUUACAGCUGUGGGCCACUGCAGAUAUGGGGCUGUGCUUUCUAGUUUGCAAUUUGCAAACUCAAGGGAGCUCAGUGGAGCCAGCAGCAGGAAUCCAGAAUUGAAAUACUACUCCUGGCUCAGACAACUACCUGCAAACACACUCUCCAAAAGUAAUCACCGUGUACAUGAGAACUGUUUUUCCCAACACAUGUUUAGUCUUAGGAAACAGUAAUGUACCCCCACCUGGACAAAAUUCAGAAGCUAUUUUAUUUUAUACUAUCCCUUAUCCAAGGUUCCUCAUUCAAGUCAUUCCUUGGACUUCAGUAUUUGUUAUGCUUUGGUUCUUAGGUAACUGUCCAAUUUGAGCAGACUAUUUGCCAGAGAGUAAUAUUUAUGUCAAUAUAAAAAAUGGAUUUAAAGCAAUUGUUCGUAUAUCUCAGGGGGAAAUAAAACCAAACAUUCUCAUUGCAAUCCUGUUAAACAUCUAGAAAGCGAUUGUAUGGACUAUUGUGGGGCUAGGUAGCCAGUUCUUUUCUUCACUUGGAGUGCAUACAUAUUUUUGAAGAUUCUGCUGCCAGGUGGGAUGGCACACACCUGUAUUCCCAGCAUUUUAGGGGACAUUUACAGGGGCAUUGUAGAUUCAAAGCCAACCUCAGCAACUUAGAGAGGCUGUAAACAACCUACUGAGACCCUGUCUUAAAAUAAAAAUUAAAAAAGGACUGGGAAGCUAUGGCUCAGUGGUUAAGCACCCCUGGGUUCAAUCCCUGGUACCAAAAGAAAAAACAAUUGUGCUGAGAUGUAUCUAGCUAUUGUCUACAAUGAAGAAAAAAAAAGUGCCAAAGAGCACCUGGAAAUUUUAUUUUUUCCAAUAACUGAGUUGAGGAGAUAAGGCAGAUAUCAGACAGUACUCUAUAAGUAUAAAUUGCUACAUUUUAUCUAUUUUUUUCCAAUAGCGUGAUAUCUUAUUUUUCUGCAUUUCUUUUAAUUAUGCGAAGUAGCAAGAAUACUGAGCAAAUAAUUAUAAGAGACACUUUUAUGUUCUGGCUCCACCACUUGUUAUAUAUUUGGCAUUAGACAAGUCACUGUAGCUAGAAGACUUGGGUUCUUAUGUUAAAAAAGAAAAAUUAAUUCCAUGUCUGCCUGUUAAUGCAGUGUUUGAGAGAUGCAAUAUUUGAUGGGCCUUUAUACAUAAGAUACUAGUAGUAUAAGGUGACAGAAGUUCUAUUUGUCUCUCAGUCCUGCCGACACAGGACAAUUUCUUGUCCACUAGUCUUGCACAUCUGACUUUAUUUAAGUGUGCAUUUCCUGCAGUCCACCUGAGUCAAUAAAUACACUUAUUGGCUGAAACAUCCGGGAUAAUAGUGAUAGCACGGAGAUGAAGAAAAAAAACCAUGGAGGAAAUUAUUGAGUUAAUUUAGAAUACUUGUAUGCUUGUUCCUGGCCUUUCUAGAGGGUGGUAAUUAGUAUUAGAGAAGUCUGCAUGGACAAUAGCCCACAAGAUCUGGUGGGUCAUGCUAAGGACCUUGAUAUCCAUUGUUAGAGUGGUAGAAACUGUUUGGUUGUUGAGAGCUGAGAGUGACAUUCUCUGAUUCCUGUUUUUAAAAGAUACCUAGAGAAUGAGGAAGCUGGUUUUCAAACUCGGGAUUCCAAAUGCACAAUGCUUUUCAGAAUUCAUACUCUGUGGACUCCUCUCCACCAUGAUGAAUAUGGGUUUGACUUAUGUCCAACAAGCAAGUAUGACAUUCCUGGUCUACCUUUUAUGAAGGUUUUUCUAGCUUCUGCUUCUUCUCUCUUGGAACGAUCUCUUUGGGGACUGUUAGCUAUCAUGUAAUAAGCUUGGAUAUUCUGUUGAAGAUUUCACAUGAAGACUAAAAUCCUUAAGACUACAUGGAGAGAGAGGCCCAGCCUUCCCAGUUUCCCCAUUCAUUAUCUAACAGCAACUGUGCUGAAGUCACCAAGUGCACCAGCUGAAUAACUGACCAUCUGAGCCUACUUAACACAGACAGGAAAAACAAUGCAAUUCAUGUCUGCAAAUCACUGUGCUUUGAUAAGGUUUGUUAUGUAAAAACAGAGAACCAGAGCACGGAUGUGGGAGGCAAGAGCAGCAGAGACCUGCUAGAGGGUCAUUCAGUUCUUUUGGUGAGAGAUGAUGGGGUCUUGGAUGAGUUCAGGAGUUCAAGAAAUUGAAGUCAUAUGAGAGGUUUGGAUGAUGGACUGCUGGUGGGGUCUAAGAUGAAGAGAAAAAUCAAAUAUUAGUUUACAUUUAUUGGCUGAAGCAUCAGGGAUAAUAGUGAUAGCACUGAGAUGAAAACAAACAAACAAACAACAACAACAACAACAAAAACCUUAAGGAAAAGUGAAUUUAAGAAGAGCAAAAGUUUUCUAGUAGAUAUUACUAUUAUUUUGUUUAUUUGAUAUUGGGUGGAUCCCAAGGAACAUGGAGGAGCUGAGUUUUAAUUAUUGAAGUCACUAAUAUAUGGGAGAUAUUAAACAUGUUAAUAGGUGAGAUCAUGCAGAGAUGGAGUACAGUUAUAGAAAAGAUAUGGUCCAAGAUCCUGACCCUCUUUUCUGCUCCUACAAGUUUGUUGUUUUGUCCAUUGCAAUGGUUCAGAUUUGGUUUGAGUGUAUCCCCCAAGAACUCAUGUGUUGGAACCUUGGUCCACAGAGUAGCUAUGUUGAGUGCUAGAGCUUUUUAAGAGGUGGGACUUACAGGGAUGAUUAGAUCAUUGGGAUGCUCCAGAGGGUUGUUGUAAGAGAGCAGUACUUGGCCCCUCCCUACUUUCCAGCUUGUUGUUUGGUCACGUGAUUUUCCCCUCACACAUGUGCUCCACUAUGAUAUCAUCUAGUAUGAUUGACAGGGACAAGGGGGUCCAGAACCCAGCAGACAUCAGUGUGAUACUCUUGAAUCUCUAGACUGUGAGCUAAAUAAACCUAUUUUCAUUAUAAGGAAUCUAUCUAGAUACUUUGUGGCAAUGAAUAUCAGAUUGCUAUAGGCAUGGCUGGAAUUGUUCUGAAUUAAUAUUGCCAUAGAUUUAAGGCGAGUGAAUUGCCUUAAAUCCCAUAUCUGUUGGGAAAGAUUCAGUGUGAGUGCACCCUUGUAUAAGAUACUGGUGAAGAUAUCUCAUUAGACUCUGUGGAGGCAUACUGUCACAGUACCUUUGUUACUGUGGAAGUUUUAGCAAUACCACAUAACAGAAUUAUUGCAAAGUCUAUGUUUCUAUGUUGGAGAGAGAAAAUGAAUUUGCUCUUCAUCUGCUGAGUUGUUGAAACCAUUCAGCUAGAAUCAAAAUGGCUCCUUGUUCUUUGGUGACUAUAAGUUAUUAUUUUUUUAUCAACUGUCUUGCUGCACCAGCAUUCCUGCCAACACAUUUUCAUCCAUCAAAGAAGGUGC
rnacentral:lncRNA from 1 species